rnacentral:lncRNA from 1 species
GGAGCGCAGUUGGGGGUCCUACAUUUUUGACACACCUUGGCAUGCAUUGCAGGGACUGCGGGUGCUCCGCGGAUUUCACAGGCGCCAGAGUUUUAUUCCGUCACAAGGACAAGGAUACAAGGGAGGUCUGAGGCAUUCCAAAUCAAAAAAGAAGGACAUGGAUGUGUAAGCCAGACGUCAUUGGCACUAACAGAUAAAGAACUGUCUUUUCUUGGCCACACUGAUUAGCGCCUUGCAACGGUCAACAGAUUGGUUAUCAACUGCCACGUUGUUAGGCUUUGAUACUACGUGUGGCUUAUAAUUUAGUUAUGUUCUCUGGGCAGUGACCAUGCGCGGUAUUUUGUGUUAUUUUCUU